rnacentral:rRNA from 1 species
GAUGAACGCUGGCGGCGUGCCUAAUACAUGCAAGUCGAGCGAACAGACGAUGAGCUUGCUCCUCUGACGUUAGCGGCGGACGGGUGAGUAACACGUGGAUAACCUACCUAUAAGACUGGGAUAACUUCGGGAAACCGGAGCUAAUACCGGAUAAUAUAUUGAACCGCAUGGUUCAAUAGUGAAAGACGGCUUUGCUGUCACUUAUAGCUGGAUCCGCGCCGCAUUAGCUAGUUGGUAAGGUAACGGCUUACCAAGGCAAUGAUGCGUAGCCGACCUGAGAGGGUGAUCGGCCACACUGGAACUGAGACACGGUCCAGACUCCUACGGGAGGCAGCAGUAGGGAAUCUUCGGCAAUGGGCGAAGGCCUGACGGAGCAACGCCGCGUGAGUGAUGAAGGUCUUCGGAUCGUAAAACUCUGUUAUUGGGGAAGAACAAAUGUGGAAGUAAAUAUGCACGUCUUGACGGUACCUAAUCAGAAAGCCACGGCUAACUACGUG